ACGCACGUGUGAAACUUGAAGGAAUUGACGGAAGGGCACCACAAGAACGCGUGGAGCAUGUGGCUUAAUUUGACUCAACGCGGGAAAAUCUUACCGGGUCCGGACACACUGAGGAUUGACAGGCAAUAUUAAAAUAUUUUUAAUUUAUUAUUUAUAUUUUAUGUUAAAUAUGCUAGUCCUUUCAUGAUUAUGUGAUAGGUGGUGCAUGGCCGUUCUUAGUUCGUGGAGUGAUCUGUCUGCUUAAUUGCGUUUCACUAAGGGCUUAUAAAUUUACGUGCGUUGUGGGUACUUUGACCCCUAUGUUGAAAUAUUACAUAGUGCGUGUCUUAGUUUGCUUCACUCGCACAAUUAAGUCCUGAAAGCAACGAACGUGACCG
rnacentral:rRNA from 1 species